UACGAAGGGUGCAAGCGUUACUCGGAAUUACUGGGCGUAAAGCGUGCGUAGACGGUCAUGUAAGUCGGAUGUGAAAGCCCCGGGCUCAACCUGGGAAUUGCAUUCGAGACUGCAUGGCUUGGGUGCGGAAGAGGGAAGCGGAAUUUCCGGUGUAGCGGUGAAAUGCGUAGAUAUCGGAAGGAACACCAGUGGCGAAAGCGGCUUCCUGGUCCGACACCGACGUUCAGGCACGAAAGCGUGGGGAGCAAACAGG
rnacentral:rRNA from 1 species